CCCAAUUCAGCUCAGCUGACAUUUACCAGUCCCUGCCCUGGAGGAGUGGGAGACAGAUGAAGUGCUUGAUGUGGUUAGCUUCUUGGCUACUCUCUGCCAGGCGGAAAAGGGUGCCAGGCCACAGAGCACCCUGACAGCCAGAACCAGACACCUGUGGUGUGGGGAGGAAGGUCUGAGGAGAAUGGACUUCUUAAAAGAAGCUACCACGGAGGUGGCAGAGAGUUGUGCGGGUCCAGCUAACCCUAGUGGGGCUUGCCUUACACUGGGCACCCGGGCCAGAGCUGGGGGUGUGUGACAGCCUCUGGGUCACCAGGAGCGGGGCAAGGGCAUUCUCGGGACUAGAUGCCUGGGCUGUUUCUUCUUGGGAUUCUCCCUUUCACUGGGUCUGCCCUCAUCCCCAGGAGCCAAGCCCUACGCCACUGCCUGGUGACUCUGAAGAAGUCCCCAGACAACUGAGUCCUCCUGGGCAAGGGGGAUGAGGCUAGCAGCUUAACUUCUCUCAGCUGAGGGUGAUGAACAAGGAGAGGGGAGGAGCCCAGAGGGGCCCGGCCCUCCAGGUCUGGGUCCUGACUCCACCUCCAGGCUCCACUUCUGGGUCAUCUUUCGAGGCGUCUGAAGCUACCACCCAGAGACCACCUCCCCUUAGAUUCUAAGGUCCUUUCCCCUCCCCUUCCCCCUCCUACCUCUGUCCCACACCCACCGCACGGACCCUCUGCAGGAAGCAACAAGGUCCAAAUGGAGUCGCUGACCUGCCCUCU